UACAGAGGUCUCAAGCGUUGUUCGGAUUCAUUGGGCGUAAAGGGUGCGUAGGCGGCGUGGUAAGUCGGGCGUGAAAUCUCGGAGCUUAACUCCGAAACUGCAUUCGAUACUGCCGUGCUUGAGGACUGGAGAGGAGACUGGAAUUUACGGUGUAGCGGUGAAAUGCGUAGAUAUCGUAAGGAAGACCAGUGGCGAAGGCGGGUCUCUGGACAGUUCCUGACGCUGAGGCACGAAGGCCAGGGGAGCAAACGGG
rnacentral:rRNA from 1 species